GGGGUCGUAGUAUAGCCUGGUUAGUACACGAGCUUUGGGAGUUCGUAACGCCAGUUCGAAUCUGGCCGACCCCA
rnacentral:tRNA from 1 species